UACGGAGGGGGCUAGCGUUGUUCGGAAUUACUGGGCGUAAAGGGCUCGUAGGCGGCCAACUAAGUCAGACGUGAAAUCCCUCGGCUUAACCGGGGAACUGCGUCUGAUACUGGAUGGCUUGAAUCCGGGAGAGGGAUGCGGAAUUCCAGGUGUAGCGGUGAAAUGCGUAGAUAUCUGGAGGAACACCGGUGGCGAAGGCGGCAUCCUGGACCGGCAUUGACGCUGAGGAGCGAAAGCCAGGGGAACAAACGGG
rnacentral:rRNA from 1 species